rnacentral:rRNA from 1 species
GCGGCCUAUUAGUUUGUUGGUGGGGUAACGGCCUACCAAGACUGCGAUAGGUAGCUGGUCUGAGAGGACGAUCAGCCACACUGGGACUGAGACACGGCCCAGACUCCUACGGGAGGCAGCAGUGGGGAAUCUUGCGCAAUGCGCGAAAGCGUGACGCAGCAACACCGCGUGGGGGAAGACGGCCUUCGGGUUGUAAACCCCUUUCAGGAGGGACGAAGGCCGGCCGGUGAAUAGCCGUGCCGGUUGACGGUACCUCCACAAGAAGCCCCGGCUAACUACGUG